CAGUAGCCGCGGUAAUACAGAGGGUGCGAGCGUUAAUCGGAUUUACUGGGCGUAAAGCGUGCGUAGGCGGCUUCUUAAGUCGGAUGUGAAAUCCCUGAGCUUAACUUAGGAAUUGCAUUCGAUACUGGGAAGCUAGAGUAUGGGAGAGGAUGGUAGAAUUCCAGGUGUAGCGGUGAAAUGCGUAGAGAUCUGGAGGAAUACCGAUGGCGAAGGCAGCCAUCUGGCCUAACACUGACGCUGAGGUACGAAAGCAUGGGGAGCAAACAGGAUUAGAUACCCGAGUAGUCCCUGUCUCUUAUAC
rnacentral:rRNA from 1 species